UUUUGUUAGUCGAAAAUAACAAAAUUCAAACACACACAAUUCAUUUCAAAAAUUUCUUAAAAAUAACUUCGCUUCCUGUAAAGAUGACAAUUUGAAAUGCAAAUUUGAACAAAAUCUAUAUGCCAGUCAAGGAAGAAAUUGAACCCUUUUUGAGUAAAUAAACCAAAGAGCCAAAAUGUACCAUUCUAGGAUAUUAUCAUAUUUAUAUGGCAGUCAAGGAAGAAAUUUGAAUCCUAUUGAGUAAAUAACCCAAAAAGCCAAAAUGUUCCAUUCUGAGAUCUUUACAACAUUUCAUCUUUACAACACUUUUCUGCAAUGGAGUACCCGACAUGUUGUUUUUGCAAAAGAGAAAAAAGAUUAUUUAAGUCCCUAAAUACUCAAGAAUGCAAGGUGGCGUCAUGUAAAUAUCAAAAUUAUGUGGCUCUAAAUGCUAAGUCAUAACCACUCCGUGCAAUGGCGCUGAAUAGAUGCUACCCUCCAUAUCGAUAUUGCCGACGCCAAGACAACCAAAUAUCGAAUAACCUGAGAUAAUUUCAUGUUUAAGUGGUUGCUGUAUUUCACUUGAAAUGUAAUGUAAGACAAAACGGAUAUGACACCUUUGGAAUCACAUGAUACAUACGAGGUGAAAUAAUGUGUGUCGCUUUUGCUUUUUUAUUUUGGUUAUUAUAUUACGUAGAAAAUAUCAUUCAGCAGGGAAUGUUUGAAGUUAAAACGAGGGC